CCUCCCUCCCCCCUCUCUCCCCCUCCGAAAUAAAUCAUCGUGUGCACAUGUCACAACAAACACCGGUGAGCUCGCGAGAUGAUGUGAGGUGCAAUCGGGGGGUAAACCCGCGCGCUUGUGUUUCCGCGGAACAACGCGACGCCACGGAAUGCCAUUGACGCUUGAUCGACGUUACGAAGAGAAUUAUUAAGGCGCUGAAGUGUCGCUGCGUUUCAAACAUGGCGGUGUCGCUCGUGCGGUCGUUCGUUGCUGUAUUACAACAUUCAUCAUGACGAUUGCGGAUCGUUCCGAUCGCACGCAACGCACGUUCUUCGCUUGAUCAUCUCUCUCGGGUUCCUCGAGAUCGAAACUCUACGCGCAACGACCGCUCCGGGUGUGCGUUGGAUUUUCCGUGUGCGGGGUUAUACACGUCGCCUGGCUCGUCGACGACUCCGGGUUUCUUCGAAGCGGCCGAGAUAAUCGCAUCGCUUCGACGACCACACAGUCGCUUUGACCUUUCUUCCGCGAGACGAUUGUAGACGCAAUCGAUAGACCCGCAUCACGUCCCAACUAGGAGGAUAUGCUCCGAAAUUCUUCUUCUCUGCGUCAACAUCGUCUUAAGAAAUCUUAACUGCUAGAAAAUAGUGAGACAGAGCUCGUUGAAGAUAUCUGGUUAAUAACAGGCUCAUUUUUGUAUUGUUCCGAGGGCAAACCCGUGUAAAAUCCAAUUUAAUCUGUUACAAGAGAUCUUUUAUUACAAUAUAAUAUAAUAUAAUAAGCUAUUCAAUUUAGAUAUAGAGUAUUGUAUACAUAGUAGCUAGUAAUCAAAAUCGAAAUUUAUAAGCAGUUUCGGUUUAGAGUGUGGCCUAUAAUCUUUGUAUAGAUGUUUCUUGUCUGUUAAUUUACCACUACUUGUGUUAUUAUUUAUAAAUCUUUGUGAGUUGUUUUGAGAAUAUUGUGAAGCACGCAAACAUUUGAACAGUGAAAUCUAUUGCAUUCAUCUUGAUGUAAUAUCCACCAUUUAUAUUGCAUACAAGAAGUAUAUAAAAAAUACUUUAAG